rnacentral:rRNA from 1 species
GAUGAACGCUGGCGGCGUGCCUAAUACAUGCAAGUCGAGCGAACAGACGAGGAGCUUGCUCCUCUGACGUUAGCGGCGGACGGGUGAGUAACACGUGGAUAACCUACCUAUAAGACUGGGAUAACUUCGGGAAACCGGAGCUAAUACCGGAUAAUAUAUUGAACCGCAUGGUUCAAUAGUGAAAGACGGUUUUGCUGUCACUUAUAGAUGGAUCCGCGCCGCAUUAGCUAGUUGGUAAGGUAACGGCUUACCAAGGCAACGAUGCGUAGCCGAACUGAGAGGGUGAUCGGCCACACUGGAACUGAGACACGGUCCAGACUCCUACGGGAGGCAGCAGUAGGGAAUCUUCCGCAAUGGGCGAAAGCCUGACGGAGCAACGCCGCGUGAGUGAUGAAGGUCUUCGGAUCGUAAAACUCUGUUAUUAGGGAAGAACAAAUGUGUAAGUAACUAUGCACGUCUUGACGGUACCUAAUCAGAAAGCCACGGCUAACUACGUG